UACGGAGGAUCCGAGCGUUAUCCGGAUUUAUUGGGUUUAAAGGGUGCGUAGGCGGUUUGAUAAGUUAGAGGUGAAAUGUCGGGGCUCAACCCCGAAACUGCCUCUAAUACUGUUGGACUAGAGAAUAGUUGCGGCAGGCGGAAUGUAUGGUGUAGCGGUGAAAUGCUUAGAGAUCAUACAGAACACCGAUUGCGAAGGCAGCUUACCAAACUAUAUCUGACGUUGAGGCACGAAAGCGUGGGUAGCAAACAGG
rnacentral:rRNA from 1 species